GAGAUGAGCCUUGCGUCUGAUUAGCUAGUUGGUGGGGUAAGAGCCUACCAAGGCGCCGAUCAGUAGCCGUGGUCUGAGAGGAUGAUCAGCCACACUGGACUGAGACACGGCCCAGGACUCCUACGGGAGGCAGCAGUGGGGAAUUUUCGCAAUGGGCGAAAGCCUGACGGAGCAAUACCGCGUGAGGGAGGAAGGCUCUUGGGUUGUAAACCUCUUUUCUCAGGGAAGAAAAAAAUGACGGUACCUGAGGAAUAAGCAUCGGCUAACUCCGUGCCAGCAGCCGCGGUAAUACGGAGGAUGCAAGCGUUAUCCGGAAUGAUUGGGCGUAAAGGGUCCGCAGGUGGCUAUGUAAGUCUGCUGUUAAAUAGUCAUGCUCAACAUGAUCAAGGCAGUGGAAACUACAAGGCUAGAGUGCGUUCGGGGCAGAGGGAAUUCCUGGUGUAGCGGUGAAAUGCGUAGAUAUCAGGAAGAACACCGGUGGCGAAAGCGCUCUGCUAGGCCGCAACUGACACUGAGGGACGAAAGCUAGGGGAGCGAAUGGGAUUAGAUACCCCAGUAGUCCUAGCCGUAAACGAUGGA
rnacentral:rRNA from 1 species